rnacentral:rRNA from 1 species
UACGUAGGGGGCAAGCGUUGUCCGGAAUCAUUGGGCGUAAAGCGCGCGUAGGCGGCCCGGUAAGUCCGCUGUAAAAGUCAAAGGCUCAACCCCUGGAAUGCCGGUGGAUACUGUCGGGCUAGAGUCCGGAAGGGGCGAGUGGAAUUCCUGGUGUAGCGGUGAAAUGCGCAGAUAUCAGGAGGAACACCAAUGGCGAAGGCAGCUCGCUGGGACGUGACUGACGCUGAGACGCGAAAGCGUGGGGAGCAAACAGG